UACGUAGGGAGCAAGCGUUGUCCGGAAUUAUUGGGCGUAAAGAGCGUGUAGGCGGUCCGGUAAGUCAGCUGUGAAAGUCAAGGGCUCAACCCUUGAAUGCCGGUUGAUACUGUCGGGCUAGAGUCCGGAAGAGGCGAGUGGAAUUCCCGGUGUAGCGGUGAAAUGCGCAGAUAUCGGGAGGAACACCAAUGGCGAAGGCAGCUCGCUGGGACGGUACUGACGCUGAGACGCGAAAGCGUGGGGAGCAAACAGG
rnacentral:rRNA from 1 species